GAGCGGCGAACGGGUGAGUAACACGUGGGUGAUCUGCCCUGCACUCUGGGAUAAGCUUGGGAAACUGGGUCUAAUACCGGAUAUGACCACAUGAUGCAUGUGUUGUGGUGGAAAGAUUUAUCGGUGCAGGAUGGGCCCGCGGCCUAUCAGCUUGUUGGUGGGGUAAUGGCCUACCAAGGCGACGACGGGUAGCCGACCUGAGAGGGUGACCGGCCACACUGGGACUGAGACACGGCCCAGACUCCUACGGGAGGCAGCAGUGGGGAAUAUUGCACAAUGGGCGGAAGCCUGAUGCAGCGACGCCGCGUGAGGGAUGAAGGCCUUCGGGUUGUAAACCUCUUUCAGCAGGGACGAAGCGUGAGUGACGGUACCUGCAGAAGAAGCACCGGCUAACUACGUGCCAGCAGCCGCGGUAAUACGUAGGGUGCGAGCGUUGUCCGGAAUUACUGGGCGUAAAGAGUUCGUAGGCGGUUUGUCGCGUCGUUUGUGAAAACCCGGGGCUCAACUUCGGGCUUGCAGGCGAUACGGGCAGACUUGAGUGUUUCAGGGGAGACUGGAAUUCCUGGUGUAGCGGUGAAAUGCGCAGAUAUCAGGAGGAACACCGGUGGCGAAGGCGGGUCUCUGGGAAACAACUGACGCUGAGGAACGAAAGCGUGGGUAGCAAACAGGAUUAGAUACCCUGGUAGUCCACGCCGUAAACGGUGGGCGCUAGGUGUGGGUUCCUUC
rnacentral:rRNA from 1 species